rnacentral:rRNA from 1 species
GACGAACGCUGGCGGCGUGGAUUAGGCAUGCAAGUCGAACGGUAUCAUCCUUUCGGGGGUGAGAGAGUGGCGAACUGGUGAGUAACACGUAGGUUAUCUACCCUCAAGACGGGGACAACCCAGGGAAACUUGGGCUAAUACCGGAUGUGAGCAACUUUUAGUUGUUUGAAAGGUGGCGUAAGCUGUCGCUUGGGGAUGAGCCUGCGUCCUAUUAGUUAGUUGGUGAGGUAACGGCUCACCUAGGCAAUGAUAGGUAGGCGGCCUUAACGGGUGGUCGCCCACACUGGGAUUGAGAUACGGCCCAGACUCCUACGGGAGGCAGCAGUCGAGAAUAGUCUACAAUGGUCGGAAGACUGAUAGUGCGACGCCGCGUGAACGAUGAAUCCCUUCGGGGUGUAAAGUUCUUUUAUAUGUGAGCAAGUGCUUCUUAUAUUAACAGUAUGGGGAGAGAGAUAUUAGCAUAUGAAUAAGCAACGGCUAACUCGUGCCAGCAGCCGCGGUAAUA